UGCAGUCGAGCGGUAAGGCCUUUCGGGGUACACGAGCGGCGAACGGGUGAGUAACACGUGGGUGAUCUGCCCUGCACUCUGGGAUAAGCUUGGGAAACUGGGUCUAAUACCGGAUAUGACCACAGCAUGCAUGUGUUGUGGUGGAAAGAUUUAUCGGUGCAGGAUGGGCCCGCGGCCUAUCAGCUUGUUGGUGGGGUAAUGGCCUACCAAGGCGACGACGGGUAGCCGACCUGAGAGGGUGACCGGCCACACUGGGACUGAGACACGGCCCAGACUCCUACGGGAGGCAGCAGUGGGGAAUAUUGCACAAUGGGCGGAAGCCUGAUGCAGCGACGCCGCGUGAGGGAUGAAGGCCUUCGGGUUGUAAACCUCUUUCAGCAGGGACGAAGCGUGAGUGACGGUACCUGCAGAAGAAGCACCGGCUAACUACGUGCCAGCAGC
rnacentral:rRNA from 1 species